GCCCGCCUAGCUCAAUCGGAUAGAGCGUGAGACUUUUACGGCCUUCUGGCGGGGUAAUCUCAAGGCUGCGGGUUCAACCCCCGCGGUGGGCU
rnacentral:tRNA from 1 species